rnacentral:lncRNA from 1 species
CGUCCCUAACCAGUUACCAUGUCUUUCAAAAGGUUUCCUGGCAUCGGCCUCACUAAAUGUCCCUUGUCCACAAUAAAUUUUCACAUUUCCAUACUAGUUCCAUUAGUUGAGAACCCAUGACCAUGUCCACAUCUUCGUCCACCGUGCCCUCGUGCAAAUUCAGAUUUUUUCUCUCCAACUACUCAACAAAGACAAAUUGAAAUUUUUUUGAACAUAAAUACAUAGUUGACGAAUAGCAUCUACCGGGAACUUAUUUUACUGCAAUUUGGAGGAAAUAAUAAACGGUCGUUUCAAGGGGUAAAUAUAAUAAAGCAUGAAUUGAUAAAAUUCUGCAAAUGUCCAUGAACCAAAGAAUAUUUUCUGCCAAGACAUUUUUUGUAUAGAAGUUGGGGAUUCCCCCGACACAUUUUAUUAUUUGAAACUGCAGAAAUUAUGGAAUAAAAGAGUACAUCAAGCAUUAUCCAAGAUCAUGUUAAAAAUAAGAACAAAGUAGGCAUUUUGUCCUACUCCUAAUUACUGAACCUUCACAUUCACAAUCAAACUCCUAACUUAUGGGCACUCUUAGUAUAGUUAUCCACAUGGAUAAAUUACAUUUAAGAGGGUUAUUUGUUACAAGAACACUUGAUCAAUGCACCUAUUCCGGAGCACUAUGAUGAAAAGAUUAUAGAGACCUCGUUUAUUUUCAGUUUUUUCCUUUCCAUGACAUACAAUACGGGUGUAUUCAAUGAAAACCAAGCGAAACAAACGGUAAAGAUAGGUGGGAAAAUAGAACACGAUGUCUAAAAGGUAAAUCUUAAUUAGAAUAUUUAGAUAAGUGACGAUUCUUCCACAUAUGCUGCACAAAGUACUUAUGAUUGACUUCAUUAUUUAAUUGAUGACUUCACAAAGCACAGAACAUAAAUGUCAAAAAGACGUAGGAAUCAAUAAACAAACUUUAAAUCUAGAACAUGUGACCCUCUGUCCUCUCCAAACCUAAAACUGAAGAAUCAUUGCAACUUUCUCCGACUGUAACCUCCAAUGCUAUUAGCUCCAUC